rnacentral:rRNA from 1 species
AGCAGCCGCGGUAAUUCCAGCUCCAAUAGCGUAUAUUAAAGUUGCUGCAGUUAAAAAGCUCGUAGUUGAAUUUCGAGAUCAAUAUGUUGGUCGUGCCUUGGUACGUACUGGCCUAUUGGUUUCUUCCUUCUGACGAACCAUGAUGUCAUUAAUUUGGUGUCUUGGGAAAUCAGGACUGUUACUUUGAAAAAUUAGAGUGUUUAAAGCAGGCUCAUGCUUGAAUACAUUAGCAUGGAAUAAUAAAAUAGGACGUUUGAUUCUAUUUUGUUGGUUUCUAGGAUCGACGUAAUGAUUAAUAGGGAUAGUUGGGGGCAUUAGUAUUCAAUUGUCAGAGGUGAAAUUCUUGGAUUUAUUGAAGACUAACUACUGCGAAAGCAUUUGC